GCACCAAUGUUGUGACCAAAUAAUCUGAUGCACAGCAAAUCUUGUUGGCGCACAAUAAACAAAUACUCUGUGUCUUUGGUGCACAAAUCUCUCAGAUCUUGAGUUGUGCACAGAAAUAGUUGAAUAUUUCUAUUUCAUUUAAACUAAUAAGUGGUCACCAUCCGGGCCCCUCAGAAUUCUAAAAGGCGGGCCCUUCAUAAGGGGACAUUUUUGAAUUUAUGCAUAAAUCCAUAACCGUACACGUUAUCUUUGUUGAUUGGAAACAAUGGCUAUUCCACCUAAAUAACUUUUGAAGUUAUGCAAAUAUAUUAUAUAUAUAUUGAAACUGGGAUCAUUCAUCAAAUCAAUGAGGGUCUCCCAAGGGUUGUCGAGAACAAGGGAACAUCGCAACAAAUGGUACAAAGACACGGGAACAACUUGAAUUUUCCGCCGGGAACAUAGGGACAUUAUUACUAGUUUAAGGGGCAAAGGGAACUUUUUUUAUUGUUCAACGGGAACACGGGAAAAUUAGUUGUUUCAUUCAAAGGGAACAGAGGAACAAGUACCCCCUCCCCCCUGGGAGACCCUCAUCAAUGCGGCUUUUUGCUUGUCUCUUAAGUUUGGAGCACAAAAUCCUUCGUUUGACGCAAUAUCUUGUUUGCAAUAAAAUUGCAACGCAUUUGGUGCACUUCGCACCUACCUGUUUUUAUUCCCUGACCAUAUGUGCAUAUGGUAACAUUGCACAACCACAGCAACACGCGCGCAUUUGGAGCCUCGAUUCAAAAAUCAAGACGAAGAGGCAUGCAACAGGGCAGGAAGAGUUCAGUGGGGACCACAAUUUACUGUUUUCAAGAAACAGUUACUUGAUACAUAAUACAUGAUAAAGAAUUCAACGUCAUAUGCAUUUGUUUUGAGCAAAUGGACAGAAAAUUGAAAGACCCAUCCAAAAACUGUAUCCGUUGGAGGGUCAGUCAAAUCAGCCCACAAUUAACCCAGGAAGAAGAUUGCCACAGCCUGCUGAAGAGAGAAGGCCAAAACAAAAGAAAAGAGAGAAGACAGCUUUUGUUGCUGAAGAUUCAUUCAGGGUAAUUGACAAAUUUGAAAACAAUGAUACAGGACUAAAGGGCUCUUAUUGGCCAAGGGGGAAUGUACUGAAUUGUCACCCAAGCCUCAUUCUCAUUUUAUUUAUGUUAUUUAAGUUGUUGCUGACAGCUUCACCUUUUAAAUGAUUGGUAUGGAAUUUUACCGCUGUUUUUGUUUGCUUUGUGUUUUUUUGCUGCUAACUGGUUAGUCAUUGUGAAAUCACUUAGAGUACAGCAUAGAACAGAAGCUUGAGCUUCAAAAUAGCAAUCAGAACAGAGCAAUUCAAAUUGUACCUGACUUCAAGGAACAAUCUGAACUCUGAUGUACAAGACCCCAGUUGACGAACUUCCAUAGUAUAUUAUUUACUUGAACCAAUUGACAAAACACUUUGAUAUGAUAUCCAAGGCUGUGUCUACUUGAUGCCACAUAACUUUUGAUCGAGAUAAAAGUUAUAAAUAGGCCUUCCAUUUACACGAGUACUGGGCUAUCUGUACCAAAAUGGAUUCAGUUAGACAUAGAACUUUUGAUCAUUGUAGAUAGAUGAUCUCAAAGUUAUUAGGCAUUAUGUAAACAGGCUAUCUGGAUAAGUUCUGCGACUGAUUCAAAAUGAGGCAGUGAUUUUGACUUAAUGAGGCUGAAAUUUUAGUGCCAAACUUCCAUCCUCGAAACAGUGGUUGCUUCGCUCAAAAGUAUUGAAAUGAAAAAAAUUAAUUCAAAAGACUAACAGCUUGGCUUAUCUCUACAAUCAAUGCAUUAGCUGCAAUCGCAUAGCUCAAGGUGAAAAUGGCAGUACUAUUAGACCACAUGUUUCAAAUCAACCAACAGCAAUAAGAGCUCUUCAAGGACGAUAUGGUACUGUCUAAGAAUGGAUUGAACAAUUUUGAAUGAAGCCAUACCCUGAGAAAAAUGCAACAACAAGGCAAUUACCUAUGUCAUUGGAAAAACAUGUUGCCAUAAGUCUUCAUUAUCUGGUGGAUAUCUGUUGCAGUUUCAAAGUUAGCUGUUCCAAUUAUUUUUCAAGAUGUUUGCCAGGCUAUAUCCUUGCAUCUAGAGCCAAAAUAUAUCAAAAUGCCUAUAACAGAGGAUGAAUAAAUGCUGUGGAAAACUGUGACCCAAAGUACCCUCAGUGUCUUGGAGCUGUAGAUGGCACAUUUUCAUCAAGAGACCAAGUGAAAAUCCUAGAGAUUUUCUGAAUCAAAAGAAACGGUAUUCCCUUAAUGUCCAAGCAACAUGUGACAACAGCAUCUGAAAACUGGAUUAAUUCCCUUGUACCCAAGAAAGAUUAUUGGUGAUGAUGAGGAGGUACCAGUUUUUGUUUUUGGAGACACAACAUACCCACUUUAUCCUUAUCUAAUGAAAUAUUUUUCUGGUGGGGGAAACCAUACAAGAGCAACAUUUUGGCAACAGGCUUUGAUCAGCUUGUGUUGUCAUAGAAAGUGCCUUUGGCCGACUUAAGGCUUGCUUUGCUUUUGCUAUAUUGAAAAGUGAAAUGGGUGUUGUUUUCCCAUAUCUACAGCAUGUUAUAUUUAUAGUUUCUUUGUCUUACAUAACUGCUGUGAAACAAGAAAAGAAACCAUUGGAGAGAAAAUCACCCAGAUUAUAAGAAACCAAAGUAAUGCAAAUAAGCCAACAAUUGAAAGACACAGAGGGAACAAUUCAUCAGAAAUUUUUUUGCAAACUACUUUGAUUGAGAAAGAUAUUUCCAUCUUCACAUGAUCUUAUAAUUUGUUGGACUUUAAUACAUGAUUUUAGUGUUUUACAUGGAGGCCAAAAUAAAAAAUGGAUUUGCUUUGAGUAACAAAUGUUGCACUAGGUCAAAUGUCUCUGUUGUGUUUGAAGCUUCUAGGGGAAAGUGUCAUUGCCAAUUGUUCUGUAAUUCCCAUAUGGUUUGGAUGUUUGUGGGGGCAAAAACAUUACAGGCAAUGUCCAGAUGGUGCUCAUAGUUCUUUUAUUUUCUUUUGAAUAUGCUAUCUAUCAUAUGGACUAAAAUCAUGUAUUAUAAAAAUUGGCAUGUCAGGGUGGGAGCUUUUUGGAAGGUGGGAGCUUUUUGGAAGGUGGGAGCUUGUUUUAAACUUUGACUUCCAUGGUGUGGGCUAAUUUGAGAAUAGCUUACAAAUGGAUUUAUGGUAACUUAGUUCAACUUUUCCUGUUAACGCAAAGUUUGUUCUGUUUUAUUUUAAUAUUGUUUUGCACUCGUAAACUUGUUAAAGCAUUGAAUUUGGCUGCUGAUCAUGUUCUCUUCUUGUCUCAGAAGAGGGCUGUGUGAUUGAAAAAUUGUAUUCCCCAGUUAAUUUGUGGUGGCAUAGCAUAGCACAUUGGCUGUUGUUGUUGUAUAAAUGUCUGGGAACCAGGGUUACUGUCAUGCCCUCAAGGGUAGUCGUUACUCUUUUGGCGAGCAGAUAACCACAGUGAGCACUAUAGACCGAGUGUCGCGACUUGACUCAUAUGCCUUACUGAAUAAAUGCGGUAACUAAAACGAGAAUACUUCUUAGGAUAUAAGUUUCGUAAACAAAACGAUACAGCAACAAAGGAUAAUGCUAACAUACGGUAUGAAUAACAAAAUGGUGUUUGAAAACGAGUAAAGCUAUAGUAAAGUAGUAUAUUUCGAUAUAUGUCCGAUAGGUUAAUAUAAUUCAUUAAUAACUUACAAAAUCCGUGCAUCCAAUAGCUGCAAUCGUCCGAAAACACAACGAAGUAAAUAGUUACGAAGAUCUAGGCUAAUGUAUUUCAAUGCGUGUGUUCUUGCAACAGGGUUUCGUAUUUCCAUAACCGCAGUUGUCUUUUCUGGUGUCUCGAAUUUAAACAACACGAAAGUGGAUUCAUCAAAGUUACUGUCUGGAUAACCAAAAAGCCUAGAGAUGCAAUAUACCUGAUCCAUUUGAAAUGACAUUAGCUAAGUUAUUUAAGUUGUCAGCAAACAUUUUCAUUGCAUCUGUAUGUUGCUCUUUGCUUCCUUUGAUGCUUUCAAAAGCUGCUUCUGCAGUUUUAUCUCUUCUCUUCAACUGAAGUCCACUUUGAAACCUUUCAUUCUUUCUUAAUUCUAUUAAAGGUAAGCAAUAAAGUGGUGUCUUGCAAAAGGUAAGCAAUAAAGUGGUGUCUUGCAAAAGGUAAGCUAUCAAGUGGUGUCAUGUCUUUUUUUGCUGGUUGGGUCACUUUGCACGGGUCUUCUUCUACAGGCCCCAAAUCAGACUCUGUAGCAAGUAACAACAAAAUAAUUGCUCAACUCAAAUUCAUUGCUUUCAGAAAAGGGGUUCGAAGAAGAAAAGCUGUUGCUUUCAAUCCCAUAUUCCAUGCAGUUUACUGCUUGGGACCCUGCCCAAAUUUCUUUGCAAUGAUUGUAAAGAGCAAAUAUCACUCUCCUAUCACAAAUUUUUAGGCCAGAAUCGAUAGCUAAUCCUAAAUACUGCCUUAAUCCUUUUUAAUUUUGGAAUUAUUUUCAUUUUGGUGAUAAAGGUUGGAUCCGAGCAAUGUGGAUACUCUUCUUUGUUUGCCCCAACAAUAUCCUUCGGAUAACUAAACAGACCUUCGGCAGUGGCGGAUCCAGCCAAAAAUCUGACUACCGCCGAAAUGAGAUAGAGGGUUGACCACACCCUUUAGACCACACCCAUUUCUUGGUCACACCCGGUUUUCUAAAAUGAUUAUUGCUUUCUUUAAUUUCUAUUGUAGACCAUUUUCAAGAGACAAGCGGUGCUUUACUGAUAUUUCAUAUAUCCUUACAACAAGCUUGAGAAGAAAUAAAUAAUCUUAUUCAAUAUUCUGAGGAUGGAUAUUCUAAAAAAAAUUUACGGCAUUUAGACGAGGAACACCAUAGAAUUAAAAAAAGAUACAUUUGGCAGAAUUUUGAAGUGUCGCCUAAAACUCGCAUUUAGUCGGACAAUUACUUAUGAAAAUCAGACCUGUUGGAAAUUACAAGUUUAAAAAGCUAGAUAAAAUUUGCAAUUAUUGAGAGCAAUUUUUGUUAAACAAAGAAUCAUACUUUUGGCGAAUAUUGUGGGCCUGACUUUUAAUUUAAUAUUCUUUUAAAAUAUAUUCCUACGAAUAGUUGUGUAUUGUACAGAUUAAUGAGUCACAUCGGCUUUGAAGUUACAGUUUGCCCACUUGCAGAAUAUGUAGGCAUCCCCCCAUCUUUCUGUAACGUUUGAGCCGCGUUGAGCGGCAGUACUACUCAACCCCCCAUCUGAGCGGUAGUCAACUCGGUUGUUCAUUGGUUGUCAACAAAAUUUGUAUGCAUCCCCCCAGGUUGACAGUGAUUUCUGACGAUUUGAUUGGUUUAGGCAGGCUGACUACCGCUCAGUGCAGCUCGAAUCCGCUCUACACCGACUCAACCCCCCUAGCUAGCAAGCCAUGAUUUCAUCAUCCCCCCAUGCUAGCCUUCUAUUUACAAACAUGUGGCUCGGCAAUUGGCACGCAAUUUCCAUAGCGAUAAGGAUUAAAAAAUAUUUCUGUCUCUGUGGAAAUUUCAGGCAUGUUUCUAGGAAGAAAGGCUUGGUUUGCAGCGCGAUCAAAUAUUUUCAAUAAUUAAAUAUGGUUUAAUUGAAGUAGUAGGAUAAACAUGAAAAUGAUCCUUGUUUCUAUAAUUUUUUGAAUAAUCUGACUACCGCUCGAGCGGUAAUGGCGGUAGUCUGGAUCCGCCACUGUUCGGGUAACAGAUUACAGAAAUGGAAUCGUUCAGCAAUUACAUCGUAUUGUGACCUGGCGCCUGACGGUCUCCCAGUCAAGUGAAGGCCGUGAGCCAUCUGUGAAUAAUUUUGUCAUCUGUCUCAACAAACUUUCUCUCUUGGUUGCAUUUCUCAUUGUCUUCUAUUUUGUUUGCUUCCUUUUCCAUUGCUUAGUUUUAUUUGGUAUUCUUGAAUGCAAGGUCCGG